rnacentral:rRNA from 1 species
UACGUAGGGUGCGAGCGUUAAUCGGAACUACUGGGCGUAAAGCGUGCGCAGGCGGUGAUGUAAGACAGAUGUGAAAUCCCCGGGCUCAACCUGGGAACUGCAUUUGUGACUGCAUCGCUGGAGUACGGCAGAGGGGGAUGGAAUUCCGCGUGUAGCAGUGAAAUGCGUAGAUAUGCGGAGGAACACCGAUGGCGAAGGCAAUCCCCUGGGCCUGUACUGACGCUCAUGCACGAAAGCGUGGGGAGCAAACAGG